rnacentral:rRNA from 1 species
UACGUAGGGUCCGAGCGUUGUCCGGAAUUAUUGGGCGUAAAGGGCGCGUAGGCGGCUUUUCAAGUGACGGGUGAAAUCCCUCGGCUUAACCGAGGAACUGCCUGUCAGACUGGAAGGCUUGAGACCGGGAGAGGUGAGUGGAAUUCCCAGUGUAGCGGUGAAAUGCGUAGAUAUUGGGAGGAACACCAGUGGCGAAGGCGGCUCACUGGACCGGAACUGACGCUGAGGCGCGAAAGCGUGGGGAGCAAACAGG